UCCGUAGGCGGUGUGGUAAGUCGAUAGUGAAAUCUCUGGGCUUAACCCAGAGGCUGCUAACGAAACUGCCAUGCUCGAGUGUGAGAGAGGCGAGUGGAAUUACGGGUGUAGCGGUGAAAUGCGUAGAUAUCCGUAGGAACAUCCGAGGCGAAAGCGGCUCGCUGGAUCACAACUGACGCUGAGGGACGAAAGCUAGGGGAGCAAACAGGAUUAGAUACCCUGGUAGUCCCUAGCCCUAAACCAUCAGGACUUGGGGUUUGCCCUGUACGGGGCAAGUCCCGUAGCUAACGCGUUAAGUCCUGCGCCUGGGGAGUACGGUCGCAAGGCUGAA
rnacentral:rRNA from 1 species